rnacentral:rRNA from 1 species
UGAAUACGAGACGCUAAGGCGUCGAAGUGGUGUAUGUCAUACUUCCAAGAAAAGCUUGCACUGUCAUAAGUAAAAAAUGCCUGUACCAUAACCGACACAGGUGGGUAGGUAGAGUAUACUAAGGGGCGCGAGAUAACUCUCUCUAAGGAACUCGGCAAAAUAACUCCGUAACUUCGGGAGAAGGAGUACCUUAUUCUAUAAGGUUGCAAUAACAAGAUCCAAGCAACUGUUUAUCAAAAACACAGGUCUCCGCUAAGUCGUAAGACGAUGUAUGGGGGCUGACGCCUGCCCAGUGCCAGAAGGUUAAAGAAGUCGGUUAGCAUUAGCGAAGCUGGUAACUGAAGCCCUGGUGAACGGCGGCCGUAACGAUAACGGUCCUAAGGUAGCGAAAUUCCUUGUCGGGUAAGUUCCGACCCGCACGAAAGGCGUAAUGAUUUGGAUACUGUCUCGGAGAGGGGCUCGGUGAAAUAGACUUGUCUGUGAAGAUGCGGACUACCUGCACCAGGACAGAAAGACCCUAUGAAGCUUUACUGUAACUUGAAAUUGAAAUUGGACUUUAUUCGCGCAGUAUAGGUGGGAGGUGUUGAUUAUAAUCUUGCGGGAUUAUUGGAGCCAUCAGUGAGAUACCACUCUUGUAAUGUUAGAUUUCUAACUUUGAAUCAUUAUCUGGUCAAAGGACAGUUUCAGGCGGGCAGUUUGACUGGGGCGGUCGCCUCCCAAACGGUAACGGAGGCGUACAAAGGUUUCCUCUGAACGGGUAGAAAUCGUAUCUAGAGUGUAAAGGCAUAAGGAAGCUUGACUGUGAGACCUACAAGUCGAACAGGGACGAAAGUCGGUCUUAGUGAUCUGACGGUACUGAGUGGAAAGGCCGUCACUCAACGGAUAAAAGUUACUCUAGGAUAACAGGCUGAUCUCCCCCAAGAGUUCACAUCGACGGGGAGGUUUGGCACCUCGAUGUCGGCUCAUCGCAUCCUGGGGCGGUAGUACGUCCCAAGGGUUGGGCUGUUCGCCCAUGAAAGCGGUACGCGAGCUGGGUUCAGAACGUCGUGAGACAGUUCGGUCCAUAUCCGGUGUAGGCGUUAGAAUAUUGAGAGGAGCCUUCUUUAGUACGAGAGGACCGAGAAGGACAUACCUCUGGUGUACCAGUUAUCGUGCCAACGGUAAACGCUGGGUAGCUAUGUAUGGAGUGGAUAACCGCUGAAAGCAUCUAAGUGGGAAGCCCACCUCAAGAUAAGUAUUCU